UGGGGAAUUUUCCGCAAUGGGCGCAAGCCUGACGGAGCAAUACCGCGUGAGGGAAGACGGCUCGUGGGUUGUAAACCUCUUUUCUUAGGAAAGAAUUUUGACGGUACCUAAGGAAUAAGCAUCGGCUAACUCCGUGCCAGCAGCCGCGGUAAUACGGAGGAUGCAAGCGUUAUCCGGAAUCACUGGGUGUAAAGCGUCUGUAGGUUGUUAAAUAAGUCUGCUGUUAAAGCUUAGGGCUCAACCCUAAAAAAGCAGUGGAAACUGUUCAACUAGAGUAUGGUAGGGGUAGAGGGAAUUCCCAGUGUAGCGGUGAAAUGCGUAGAUAUUGGGAAGAACACCAGCGGCGAAGGCGCUCUACUGGGCCAUUACUGACACUGAGAGACGAAAGCUAGGGGAGCAAAUGGGAUUAGAUACCCCCGUAGUCC
rnacentral:rRNA from 1 species